rnacentral:rRNA from 1 species
AGAACGAACGCUGGCGGCAUGCCUAACACAUGCAAGUCGAACGAGACCUUCGGGUCUAGUGGCGCACGGGUGCGUAACGCGUGGGAAUCUGCCCUUGGGUUCGGGAUAACAGUUGGAAACGACUGCUAAUACCGGAUGAUGUCUUCGGACCAAAGACUUAUCGCCCAGGGAUGAGCCCGCGUAGGAUUAGCUUGUUGGUGAGGUAAGAGCUCACCAAGGCGACGAUCCUUAGCUGGUCUGAGAGGAUGAUCAGCCACACUGGGACUGAGACACGGCCCAGACUCCUACGGGAGGCAGCAGUGGGGAAUAUUGGACAAUGGGCGAAAGCCUGAUCCAGCAAUGCCGCGUGAGUGAUGAAGGCCUUAGGUUGUAAAGCUCUUUACCGGGAUGAUAAUGACAGUACCGGAGAAUAAGCCCGGCUAACUCCGCGCCAGCAGCCGC